AAUCAACGCUGGCGGCGUGCCUCAGACAUGCAAGUCGAACGAUUAAAGCUCUCUUCGGAGAGUGCAUAGAGUCGCGCACGGGUGAGUAACACGUAAGUAAUCUACCUUCGAGUGGGGAAUAACGUCCGGAAACGGGCGCUAAUACCGCAUAAUGCAGCGGCAUCGCAAGAUGACAGUUGUUAAAGGAGCAAUCCGCUUGAAGAGGAGCUUGCGGCAGAUUAGCUAGUUGGUAGGGUAAUGGCCUACCAAGGCUACGAUCUGUAACCGGUCUUAGAGGACGGUCGGUCACACUGACACUGAAUAACGGGUCAGACUCCUACGGGAGGCAGCAGUCGGGAAUUUUGGGCAAUGGGGGAAACCCUGACCCAGCAACGCCGCGUGAAGGAUGAAGUAUUUCGGUAUGUAAACUUCGAAAGAAUAGGAAGAAUUAAUGACGGUACUAUUUAUAAGGUCCGGCUAACUACGUGCCAGCAGCCGCGG
rnacentral:rRNA from 1 species